UGAUACGGUCAUACCACCAGGAAAACAGGCGAUCCCAUCUGAACUCGCAACUUAAGCCUGGUUGGGCAGGAUUAGUACUGGGCUGAGUGAUCUCCUGGGAAUCCCCUGUGCUGUAUCGC
rnacentral:rRNA from 11 species